AAGACGUUAGUAAAACACAUUACCUAGCCUUGUCAAGACUAAAUUAUAGGUUCAAACCCUUUACGACUUA
rnacentral:tRNA from 3 species